ACAUAAAAAAUUAAUUUCUUUCAAAUUUAAUCAAUCAUGCUAAUCGAAUUAUUGAUCACGCUAAACAUAUUGCAGCGUUUUUAUACGUUCAAUGAAAAAAAACGGAAGCAUUUAAUAAAUUUGUCAUGUAUAAAACAUAACGUAAUAAUGAACAUUCGUCAAAGCUUAUUAAACGCACACGUGUUACCUUGUCUCUGGCGAAAGUAAUUAAUUCAAAACAUUGCGUCAAUGUUGCCUGACAUUUCAUGUUGUUUUUUACAAAAGAGCGUGUGAAUCACGCUUUUAAUCCAACUCCAUAUUUUAAUCAAACAUUAAAAUUCACGUACAUCUGGAAACGUGUUUGCUCGUACCACGAUCGACGUACAAUAUCAAUUUUUAUGUAUCUAUCGUGGGUAAAUUAGAUGAAAAUAAAACUAGGUCGAUGAUAGGUUAUGUCGAGGAAAAAGAAAUUUUAUUUAGCAACGCAAAGUGGGAUUUGGUUGAUCAUCUGAUUGAGCAGGAAAACGUUAUCUAUGUACCACACGUUUCAUGCCACGUGAAUUAAGCUGUACACGUUUGAAAACCGCAUUAUAUUUGCCUUCAGUUUUAACGGUUACAUCUCGAAAUAGACACGAUAAAAAAAUUCCUUUCAUCAGUCUAUUACGUGCAGGCUUUUCAAACGUAAUUUUACCCUGACUGAAUAACACCGAUCUGCAUGAAGUGUAAUUUUAACCCAACUGCCAAUGUGUUAAUUAGUAUUGUACACUCACAAGUAUAACAGACUACUCUCCGUUUAAGGGGAAAAGUCACACUGCUGACGCAAUUUGACAAACUUGCAUCGUGUUUAGUACUCUCGAAUUUUAAGGUUAGUUCUAAUUAUAAUUUACGCUGUUAUCCUUACGUUAAAAUACUUUCGUUGCAUUCCACAUUUUCCUUUUAUAUUUAAUUCACAGUUGAUUGAAUUAGUGAAAGAGCAAACAUUUUUCGAACUAUUCAAAUUUGGCGUCAAUUUGAAGAUAACGAAUUUCAACGUUCGCACACCUGUCAAGUUUUAUACUCGACCUUACAAAAUUAUAUUCUAAAACGGAUAAAUUAUUUUUAACGCGAUUUAUACUACGUAGUGAAGGUAAAAAGGUCAUAGAUUGUUUGGGUAUUGUAAAAGGAGGUCGAUGCAAAGAAGUUAGGAAACAGUUGCGAACGAUUGCGUUAAUAUUCGAUAAUUAUGGCAAAACAGAUUCUUUGAAAUGUUUGUUGAAAAACAUUGUUUAUCUUUAAUUAUUCGCUGGCUGCGGGGGAAGCUUCUUUCCCCUACAUUUUCUGUUGGCCGAAGAGAAGCCUGUUAUGGUGUGCCACGUGGUACGGAACGCGUUAGUAGUGAAGGAAUUGGAAUACAGCUUCCUAUGCGUUACACAAUUACGAGUAUUCAUCGUUUUCCGACUACACAGCCGCGAAUGUUCUGCAUUCCACCGAAGAAUUGAAUAGCAAUGUUAUCGUCCGAUUAUAGGAAAUCGUUUCUAUUAACAGCGUCUUGAAAGCUUUCGUUCGAAGAAUUUCAUUCAGUCGUAUUUUCAUUCAUCGUCAAUAAACUUCUCAUUUAAAUCGUUUUAAUUAACUGGAACGUAGAUCUAUACCUGCGAUCUAAGGAGAGAUUUUUAAUCAAACGCUACUUUGAUGUAGAACUUUCUUUACAAGAUAAUAUUGAGGUUAGUACAUUUUAUAUAUUUAUUUUUGAAGUCAUCAACCUGCUUACAGUUGAGAAUUCACUGCAAUUUUAGUGCAAUGUCAAAAUCGCAAAUUUUUAAUUUGAAGUUGCGAGUUUACAGAUUUGUAAAUUUAGAGAUUUAUAUUUAAAAAUUCUCCAAUCUGCUAACAGCAAAUAUAAAAAUUGACCGUGAAAUAUUAACACUUAACGGAUGUUUUUUCUCUUUCUCGGUUUCCCGGCAUUUAAGAGGAUUAAAUAGACAUGUAUGCAUGGUUUUAAACCGUUGCCGAUUUAUCGAAUCAACACUAUUUUACCAAGCUAUUUACACGUCUACUACUCAAGACUUGCUAUUUUCACAAAAUUGCGCAGGAAAUCUGCGCAGUAGGUUCAACGGACAGAUGGUACAACUAACGGUAACAAAAACUACCCAUUGUGUAUAAAAAUAAAAAACUAAAGCAGUUUGAUAAAAGUCCUCGCAAAAAUGUGGUCCACGAGAAUGGAGAAUUUACAUUGGUCUUAGAAAGUAAGAAUGGAAAAACGUGAGUAGUGAGUAGUCCGUUAAGAAUAUUGGAACAUAGGUAUACGAACGUUAGAGUGCAUGAUCAAGAAAUAUCGACAAGGAUCUCACCAUGAUCACGGAUGAUUCGUACAGUGCUGCCACCCGUCAGGGAAACGGGAGAUUCCCGCGACAGGCAAAUGAGUCACGCGUACUCGCUGGCUCUCGCGUCUGACGUAGCGUCCUUCCUCUUUCCUCGGUCAGACAAACCGACACUCUCAUCCACGCUAGUCUGACGAAGCGCCAACAUUUCCCCUCUCCCUGCGAGCGUCUUCUCCGAGAACGAGGCUCACACGGAGACGGUCGCCAGCUCCCCGCUGCGUCCCCGGGAGACGACAAGACUCGGUUUAGCUCGCCUUGCCAACCACGAGGAAACCCCGAGCCUUUCCCUCUUUGCACCGCCUACCAACUGUUUCGUCUCCUCUUCCCCGUUCCUCGCCUGACCAAGCUUCUACGACCGAAGCAGUAAACUCGACGCAGAUUCGCGUCGUUCCGAGUUGCGCCGCUUCGAUGGAGCGGUGAACGGGUGAUUAGGUCACGCACCCCGUGCGUCGCCGUCUAUAUGCCCUAGGCCGUUCACGGCCGUGUGUCCACGGAAUUCCCCGUUGUUUUUCGAGAGGCACGAUCUACUCGCUAUACCUAUUAUACCAGCUCUCCCGGCUACGCUUUUCUAUAUAACACACUGUGCUGUCUAUAGAACGCGCAACUAGCAUGAUUCACGAGGCCCGUGCUACAGACGGAGCUGCUGCUAUUGGUAAUCGAUAAAUUAUCGACGUCUUAUCGAUACCGCAGACGUACGGAAUAUGUGGACCUAUUAUCCGAUGUAUUUUUCUUGUGGUUAUACGAGUUGCUGCUAAGCUCGUGUCAACUUUGUCGAAAACAUACGUCAUAGCUCGGUAAUUUCGCAAUUUGACAGUCUUAGUUUUUAUGCAGUUUCGAUAUUAUUUUAUUUUUUAACUGUUUCAUUUUUUGAUUGUCAUUACUUUUAAUUAUGCUGGGGCAUGAUUCAAGUUUUAUUUUAUACUAAACGGUGUUUAGUACCCUAUUUAAAAAAAACCGCGACACAUGCGCAGUAGUCCAUCAGUUACAAGCUGUCAUUUCUGUACUUCGGAUGGUCAUGUUUCGAAUAUUUCCAAGUUUUCUUGUUGUGUACUUUCAAUUUCUAGGUCCAAGAUUUUUUUGUUCACAGUUCUUGAGGCUUUAGUGAUUCAGUAUAUUCUAUCCUUAACUUCUGGUCGAGAUCCACAAAGGAACACAAAGUAACGAUUUUUACUGUGGUUAUGUACAUGGAUUUUGACCGUUGCCGCCAUUUUUCGGACUCUGAUUAAAUGUUCUGGAGCUGCAUUUCUAUAAAUUGCUGUAAAAAUAGCAAUUUAAUCACUGUGAUUGGAAAAAAAUGAAUAGUAAUAAUAUAUUGACCACUACUCAUGAGUAGAGAACGUUCGCAUGUAGGUUGAUAUGGCAGUCGAGCAUGAGACACGAAAGUCCAUAAGGUGAAAUGUCUCCUCGUAAAACUCGUCUAUGUUGAUACUGAACGAAAUAGUGAUGAUGUUAAGAUGUCGUUAGGGUUAAUGGCAGCGAUUGAGGUAGAAUGUGAACCAUAGCUGUAUCUUUAUGAAUUGUUUCGUGGAUCGAAAAAUAAUAAAAUACAGUCUGAAUUGAGAUUUAAACGAUUAUUAAAAAAUCGACCUUUUCCCAUACGAGUUCGGAAUUCUUGUAUAACACCAGCAAAAGCUACGUAAUAAUAAAGAAUUUUGCCGACCUCGUGUAUCAACAGUUUCCUGCAAACGCAAAUACUAUAAGUGAUGAUUAUGAAGAGUGGCUUUACCAGGAAAUUUCCACAAUGGUUAAAGACACUCAAGUAUGCUGGCAGAUUACCGCUGGACAUUAAAGAUACUCCACAGAUAAAGCACAAGCUAAAAAUAAAGCACGUUUCGCGAUUUCGUCAAUAAAAGUCACUUUUCUUUUUUUUGUCCGUUUUCGUAUCGCAUUUCACCACAUCUGGGAUAAAAAUGUAAUUAGAAAAAUUGAUCAGUCAUAUCAAAUAUUAGAAGAUCUUACUUAUUUAAUCUUUUGGACUUGAGUAUUAGAUUCUUUUUUUUAAAUAGUUAUCACAGUUCAUAGUUUUGCACUGUGCUGACCUUCUUGGUCUUCUUAAUAUGUAUAUAAAAUAUUAUUGAUAAUAUUAUAUUCAUAACGAAAGAUUAAACAAAUUUCAUCAGAAAUUCUCUGUUGGUGACUUAACAGCGUUCAGUGUACGGUUUGAUGACGAAACGCUACUUGUGAAUGGAUGAUUAAGUCAUAAAGUCCUGCGCAAUAGUAGGACAUUCAUAGCCAACAUCGUUCAUUGUUUACGAACGUUUUAUCCGUUAUCGUAAUUAAAAAGCAUCUUACCAGCAUAUUAAAAUUAAACGUUGCACAUUUAUUCAGCUAUUACGUUCUAACUAUGUAACUUCAGAAGCAAUAUUUCUCAAGUUGAAAAGGAAAUUACUCAUUUUUUUUUUUGUGAUUUUACUUAUUUUAAAUUGGUUGCAAUUAUGUAAAAAUUGUGAGAAUAUUAAUUAUAUACAAGACAUGAUGUCCAUAUAUAUGGACAUAAUUAAAUACAUAAUGAGUCACCAUUCUUGGAAAGACUAACUCAUAAUCAAUUUGCAGAUAUGAUUUAAAUACAAUGUUUUGUACUUUGACUUAUAUUAAAUAAUUGUAAA